UCUCUUCCUCCCGGUCCUCACUCCGUCAAUCCCCUCUUCCUUCUCUCGCCUCCCAUGGCGCCGCCGCUCCUGCCUCCUCACCUCCCGUGGCCCGCCCUCCCGGUCGUGUCUCUUCUCUCCAUCGCCAGUCGCGGAAGCUGCUGCGCUCCUCUUCCUCCCUAGCCGCAUCGCGCGAGAGACCCGAGGUCACCCGCCUCCGAUCCGACGGGCGAGGCGGCCAGCGGCUGCCUCCCGGUCAAAUCCGGCUGCCCACCGACCGACUCGAGCUGGCGGUGUUGUUCCCGGCGGAGCACGCCGUCGCGCCGUUGAUGUGGGGAUGCCAUAGGGGAGCACGCCGUCGCCAUCGGCUGCGUCCUGGGCGACUCCGACGCGCCCUGCCACGAGCUUCGUCUCCUCUGUCGCUGCCGUGAGCUUCUCCGCCGCUACCUCAUCUCCUCCAGCACCCUCUCUUGCUCGUGUAUCUGGACGAGAGGCAACCUACUGAGAGGAACAUGUCGACCUUGGUGACAUCUAGGAUGAGGCACGUCCAUGAAAUCGAUGGUGAGGCAGCCGGCCGUCAGGGGUGCGUUAGCUUGGGUGAUCCCCUAGCGAAGCUGCAGCGACCACACAAGGUGCAUGUAGCCGGCAUCAUGACACUCUUGGGGCACACUGGAGCCUGGUGAUUAUGUGCGUUCCUGCAAAAAAGAGUAAUUCAGGACCAAUCUUACUUCAUCUGGACUCCUUAGGGAUGCAUCCUACUCUAGAGGAAUUGAUGACGGCGGUGGUCAUUUUCCAGAUUCAGCAGUGCAUACUUGGAACAGGUAAUAAAAAGGGAAUCACUUAAUUUUAUUUGUAUUUGCACCAAUAAUCAUGCUUAGCAUAUUAGAACAAUUUACUUUGAGAACAAAUGGCUGGAAGAACGAUGCGAUUUGAUACCCUGUUAUGUUGGUGUCGAGAGAAAAUUUGGUGUUUCGUUUUUCUUAUAUGUACAAUUAUCUGCCGUGAAUCUUGUGCUUUCAAUCAAUGUGUUUAUUUUGGCUAAAUUCUGAGCCUUUUCUGGAUCUGAGCAAACGAUCCUGCAACGACAGCAAGAGGCAGCCCACAUGAAUCUAUUGAGGUGCACCUUUAUCUUGACCAUGCCUCUGGUUUUUAGUUAGACACCAUGUUUGCAGAUUCAAGUUCCAAAAUCAGGGUACUGUUUUUUAUUUCUUGCUUAAUUUUGUUUGGUAGUUCCCUUUGUGUUCGGUAGUGGGACAUGUGUUGGUCUACACAGGUAUUUCUUUUGUCUGUCAAAUGCUACCAAACAAACCAGUGCCAUGGUGGCUAGGAUGGGUCCUCUUAGAUGUCCAUUCGGAUUACAAAUUGUGGAGGGACCGGUCAACAUUUUUAGUAUUUUACUACAUGGCUGCUAAGUAUACAUAGAUUUAGGAAAACUACCUGCGGUAAUUCCUGCUCCGGCAUGCGUUUCUCUUAAUUCUUGAAUUAUGAAUUCAGACCAAGAUUUAUGAAUUCUAAUUAUUAGUUUGAUUUACAUUUUUGUUUUCAUUAUUGUGCCUUCUAUCCAAGGUGAUCAUAUGAAAUCUUUAAAUAACUUAUUAUCCAUUGGUUCCUCUGCCUGCUCAAUGGAAACAAUAUCGUGAGACAUAAUAGGGAGUAUAUUAGACAAAUACGCAUCUUUGUAGUGAAAUGCCAUGCUCUCAAGUAUCUUGCAGUGCCAACAUAUAGUUAAGAUGUAUUAGUAUCUUUGAAUGUUCCAACAAGUAGCCCGACUACACAUACUUGUAGUAAUUUUAAGCUUCAAUUUAUUAUUUUUGUGGUUUCAAGCUAGGAUUAGCACUUCCUGAUGUUAUUUUUGGCUUUGGAUUGUAAGUAAACUCUUUUUAGAUGAGCAUCCUUUUCCACCGACAAAUAAUAGCCAAUCAAUAUUUCCUUGAUAUAUUUUGCAUUACUGAUAUACUUUACAUGUAGAGAUUAUCAACAUUUGUAUUAGACCAAUAAUAGUUGUCGAAAUUUUGUAGUUGUGUGCUAUUGCCUGCAAGAUACUGGAUUCUUAUAGAGUCAAUUAACUGGGAGAAUGAUAACUACAAAAGGCGUUGCUAAUCUUGACACGACGAAACACAUUCUCUGUUAUGUCCAUGAUGUUUCACUCCUACCUUACUCCGCUGAAUUACUCUACCUAUAAAAGGGGGACAGAGUGAACCUGCUGACAUAUCUUAAUUGUUAUGCUGUGAUUGAAUUGUCGUUGCUCGGUACCGUGAGAACAUGGAGAUGUGCAGGCUCAUGGAGCAGGUUGUGUUCUCGGAUCCAUACAUGGCCUCUAAAUACACUUGCUGGGAUUCGCCUCUUCUUGACGCUGAAGCAGUUCGAGAGGAUGAUGGUUUUGGAACGUCCGAGUUGUUGCCGUUUAUGUGAUGGAUCUGUUGUUGCAUUCGUUGAUCUGUUGGUCCGCUAUUUGCAGGUGCUCGUUGGUCUGCCGGUCAUUUGAUUUGUGCCAGCUUGCUACUCCUCGUCCACCACCUUGCAGUGGCGGAGAAGUGGAACCAGAAGUGGAGGUCAACAUAUUACAGGUGAUGCCUGCGUGUAAUAUGUUGACCUCCACUUCUGGUUCCACUUCUCCGCCGCUGCCCCACCGUCCAGGUCCAGCCCCACUCCCCCGUCACUCCUCCUACGUCCUCUGCAGGAGAAGAAUUUGUUAUGUUGGGCUCGGACUAUGUUGACAGCCAUCUUGGCCAGCAAGAGGAUGCUCACCUGCUUCGUCUUCCUCACCAGUCGGCUCUUAUUAACCAAUGAUGAUGUAUCUUCAAGGGCAGACUGUGAACAAGUACUACAAAGAGGAUAUCUCUAAAUCAAGUUGCACGCCCACUAGAGAAAACCACAGGUUGGUUUGCACAAGGUGCUGUAGUUUUCAAGAUAUAUCAUGUGCUCAAAUGUUUGAACCAAAGGCUUAUGUUGUGUACCGAAAGAAUCCUGAGAAAUUUUAGAAGGCUCAAGCUCAAGGCAUCACUCAAAACAGAGUAAGAGAAUAAGCUGGGAAUGGUGCAGUGGUAUGAAAUUAAAAAGAAACUGAAUAUAAAGUUGAAGAGGUGGAGCCAAGCAUGUUGGCCUGCAGUCAUGCUCUAGUUUAUUUACAGAAUAUGAUCCUAAUAACUAUUCUAACCUCGAGGAGUCAAAGACAGAUGGCCUGUCAUGUUCACCCAUCAAGACAUCAAAAAGGAAGAGGGUGAUUGCUGAACCUGAAGGAGCACCAGCAAAGUCCUUGAAAAACGUGGUUGUGCCGGAGAAAUCAGACAGCACCCUAGUUAUAUUGGUUAUACAACCAGUAACACAAAACGUAGGACCGACUCCAGUAGACUGUACCCAUACUUCAUUGGCCACACCACUAGCCGCACCACACAGGACCUGCACUCCAGCAAAAGGUAUGCCGAUUUCAGUUGCCAUAGCACCAGCCGUACCACAGAAAAAUCCCACUCCAGCAAAAAGUACAGCAAGUCCAUCGGCCGAAGACCUAUCCCAACUACAGAGACGGCCAAUUCCUGCAGAUU